rnacentral:rRNA from 1 species
ACUCAAAUGAAUUGACGGGGGCCCGCACAAGCGGUGGAGCAUGUGGUUCAAUUCGACGCAACGCGAAGAACCUUACCUGGGCUUGACAUGCUGGUAGUAGAAACCUGAAAAGGCGACGAGCCCCGCAAGGGGAAGCCAGCACAGGUGCUGCAUGGCUGUCGUCAGCUCGUGCCGUGAGGUGUUGGGUUAAGUCCCGCAACGAGCGCAACCCUCGCCCUUAGUUGCCAGCGGGUAAUGCCGGGCACUCUAAGGGAACUGCCCGUGAUAAACGGGAGGAAGGUGAGGAUGACGUCAAGUCCUCAUGGCCUUUAUGCCCAGGGCCACACACGUGCUACAAUGGCCGGUACAAAGGGUCGCGAACCCGCAAGGGGGAGCCAAUCCCAAAAAACCGGUCUCAGUUCAGAUUGGGGUCUGCAAUUCGACCCCAUGAAGUCGGAAUCGCUAGUAAUCGCGGAUCAGCACGCCGCGGUGAAUACGUUCCCGGGCCUUGUACACACCGCCCGU